UUCAUAAGUUUUUUUAAAAUAUUCCUGAAGAAAAAUUAAAUUUAAAAAAAAACUAUCAUAUCACUGCACUAUCAUAACGUCAACCCCGACGUAAUAUUUUGGCAUAUUGUUGCGUAUGAAUAAACAAGUCUUACUUAUUAUUGAUACGAAAUGUGGAUAGACAAAAAAAUUCUGAGAAAAAGAGCGAAGUGUUUGUUCAAAUAUGGGGAAAGGGCUCUUAUAACAUGAAAUGACUGGAAACAUGACGACAUUGGCGGAUGCG
ensembl:ncRNA C09B7.11 ncRNA